rnacentral:rRNA from 1 species
UACGGGGGGGAGCAAGCGUUGUUCGGAUUUACUGGGCGUAAAGGCGCGUAGGCGGCCAGCACAAGUCAGUUGUGAAAUCUCCGAGCUUAACUCGGAAAGGUCAACUGAUACUGUGCGGCUAGAGUGCAGAAGGGGCAACUGGAAUUCUUGGUGUAGCGGUGAAAUGCGUAGAUAUCAAGAGGAACACCUGCGGCGAAGGCGGGUUGCUGGGCUGACACUGACGCUGAGGCGCGAAAGCUAGGGGAGCGAACGGG